rnacentral:rRNA from 1 species
CCUACGGGAGGCUGCAGUGGGGGAUAUUGGACAAUGGGGGAAACCCUGAUCCAGCGACGCCGCGUGAGUGAAGCAGUAUUUCGGUAUGUAAAGCUCUAUCAGCAGGGACGAAAGAAAUUACUGUACCUGAGUAAGAAUCCCCGGCUAACUACAUGACAGCCACCGCGGUCAUCCGUAGGGGGCAAGCGUUAUCCGGAAGUACUGGGUGGAAAGGGAGCGUAGACGGUGAUGCAAGGCUGGUGUGAAAGGCGUGGGCACAACCACCGGACUGCUUUGGAAACUGGGUAACUUGAGUGCAGGAGAGGUAAGCGGAAUGUCUAGUGUAGCGGUGAAAUGCGUAGAUAGUAGGAGGAACACCAGUGGCGAAGGCGGCUUACUGGACUGGAACUGACGUUGAGGCUCGAAAGCGUGGGGAGCAAACAGGAUUAGAUACCCGGGUAGUC